rnacentral:rRNA from 1 species
UGUAGUCAUAUGCUUGUCUCAAAGAUUAAGCCAUGCAUGUCUAAGUAUAAGCAAUUAUACAGCGAAACUGCGAAUGGCUCAUUAUAUAAGUUAUCGUUUAUUUGAUAGUACCUUACUACUUGGAUAACCGUGGUAAUUCUAGAGCUAAUACAUGCUAAAAAUCCCGACUUCGGAAGGGAUGUAUUUAUUAGAUUAAAAACCAAUGCCCUCCGGGGCUCACUGGUGAUUCAUGAUAACUUCUCGAAUCGCACGGCCUUGCGCCGGCGAUGGUUCAUUCAAAUUUCUUCCCUAUCAACUUUCGAUGUUUGGGUAUUGGCCAAACAUGGUUGCAACGGGUAACGGAGGGUUAGGGCUCGACCCCGGAGAAGGAGCCUGAGAAACGGCUACUACAUCCAAGGAAGGCAGCAGGCGCGCAGAUUACCCAAUCCCGACACGGGGAGGUAGUGACAAUAAAUACUGAUACAGGGCUCUUUUGGGUCUUGUAAUUGGAAUGAGUACAAUUUAAAUCCCUUAACGAGGAACAAUUGGAGGGCAAGUCUGGUAAUCG